ACACUUACCUGGCAGGGGAAAUACCAUGACCACGGAGGUGGUUUUCCCAGGGCGAGACUUAUCCAUCGCACUCCAGAUGUGAUGACCCCUAUGAUUUCCCCAGAUGCAGGAAAGUUGACUACAUAGUUUGUGGUGGUGGAGAACUGCAUUCACUCUCCCC